rnacentral:rRNA from 1 species
UGCGUAACGCGUAUGCAACCUACCUUUAUCAGGGGGAUAGCCCGGAGAAAUCCGGAUUAAUACCGCAUAAAAUCACAGAAUAGCAUUAUUUAAUGAUCAAACAUUUAUGGGAUAAAGAUGGGCAUACGUGUCAUUAGCUAGUUGGCGGGGUAACGGCCCACCAAGGCGACGAUGACUAGGGGAUCUGAGAGGAUGACCCCCCACACUGGUACUGAGACACGGACCAGACUCCUACGGGAGGCAGCAGUAAGGAAUAUUGGUCAAUGGAGGCAACUCUGAACCAGCCAUGCCGCGUGCAGGAAGACUGCCCUAUGGGUUGUAAACUGCUUUUAUCCGGGAAUAAACCUCUGCUCGUGAGCAGAGCUGAAUGUACCGGAAGAAUAAGGAUCGGCUAACUCCGUGCCAGCAGCCGCGGUAAUACGGAGGAUCCAAGCGUUAUCCGGAUUUAUUGGGUUUAAAGGGUGCGUAGGCGGCCUGUUAAGUCAGGGGUGAAAGACGGUAG